rnacentral:misc_RNA from 1 species
GGAAGCACAAGUUUACAAUUUCUAAACCCUAUUAUAUAUAUGUGCAGCUGAAACUGGACCAAUCCCUGUCAACUAAUCAUAAAUCUGCUCCAUCAUUUCUAGUCUUAGAUUCGAACCACAUACUCUAUAUAGUAUUAAUUCACAAACAAGAACCAACCCAAUUUUUGUGAAAUUUGAAUCAUUUAGAAAUUUGAGUUCUUGCAGUGGGAUUGAAUGAAGAUAUCUUGUAAAUUUCAUGUAUAGGCAGAUUGUGAUGAGAGUAAUCUG